UACGUAGUGAGCUAGCGUUGUCCGGAAUCAUUGGGCGUAAAGCGCGCGUAGGCGGCCCGGUAAGUCCGCUGUGAAAGUCAAAGGCUCAACCUUUGAAUGUCAGCGGAUACUGCCGGGCUAGAGUCCGGAAGAGGCGAGUGGAACUCCUGGUGUAGCGGUGGAAUGCGCAGAUAUCAGGAAGAACACCAACGGCGAAGGCAGCUCGCUGGGACGGAACUGACGCUAAGGCGCGAAAGCGUGGGGAGCGAACAGG
rnacentral:rRNA from 1 species